rnacentral:rRNA from 1 species
GACGAACGCUGGCGGCGUGCUUAACACAUGCAAGUCGAACGGAAAGGCCCUGCUUUUGUGGGGUGCUCGAGUGGCGAACGGGUGAGUAACACGUGAGUAACCUGCCCUUGACUUUGGGAUAACUUCAGGAAACUGGGGCUAAUACCGGAUAGGAGCUCCUGCUGCAUGGUGGGGGUUGGAAAGUUUCGGCGGUUGGGGAUGGACUCGCGGCUUAUCAGCUUGUUGGUGGGGUAGUGGCUUACCAAGGCUUUGACGGGUAGCCGGCCUGAGAGGGUGACCGGCCACAUUGGGACUGAGACACGGCCCAGACCCCUACGGGGGGCAGCAGGGGGGAAUAUGGCACAAGGGGCGGAAGCCUGAUGCAGCAACGCCGGGGGGGGGAGGACGGCCUUCGGGUUGUAAACCGCUUUCGCCUGUGACGAAGCGGGAGGGACGGUAAUGGGUAAAGAAGCACCGGCUAACUAGGUG